rnacentral:tRNA from 1 species
CGCUCGGUAGCUUAGUUGAUAAAGCGCUCGUCUAGCAUACAAGAGCACUGGGUUCGAAACCUAGCUGUGCAC